UACAGAGGUCUCAAGCGUUGUUCGGAUUCAUUGGGCGUAAAGGGUGCGUAGGUGGCGUCGUAAGUCAGGUGUGAAAUCUCGGGGCUUAACUCCGAAACUGCAUUUGAUACUGCGGUGCUUGAGGACUGGAGAGGAGACUGGAAUUCAUGGUGUAGCAGUGAAAUGCGUAGAGAUCAUGAGGAAGACCAGUGGCGAAGGCGGGUCUCUGGACAGUUCCUGACACUGAGGCACGAAGGCCAGGGGAGCAAACGGG
rnacentral:rRNA from 1 species